rnacentral:lncRNA from 1 species
AUAUAAAUAAAAAUAGUAUGAGAAAUAAUAGUUGAUCCCACAAAAUGUACAGAUAAUAAAGAGUAAUAUUUAUAAAUGUGUGUUUAUGAUCCCUUUUAACACUGGUCUCAAUCUGUGCGAAUCUAUAUCAGAGGCCGUGGGAAGAUUCGAUACCUUACUCAAGAAAUUAUUCAAAUGAAGAAUGAGGACCCUACUUUUUUCUACAUGGAAUGCAGAAAAUUCCAUGGUAAUGUCUUGGCUUGUGAACAAAAUGGACCCUUUGAUAAGCCAAAAUGAAAUGUGCCCACCUGAUGCUACCAAAAAUCCUACCUGUAGAUUUCCCGAGCAUGAUGACUGAUGAGGAGCACGAACGUGAUCUUCCGGUACCUGAAAAGAAGGCAACGAAUUGUGUUCUCGUCGCCCCUCCGAUGCUUAAGUCAGAAAGGGAAUUUUGUGCGUGAGACUAUGUGCUGGAGAACAAUGAAAAACGUACCUGAAUAAUGAUUAAGGGCUUCGUAUUUAUAGAGGUAGGUGGUGUGUUCAUACUAGGAUUCCGUAGUGCACCUGUAGUAGGACAGCUUGAUUUUGCAAUCUUACACCAAUGAGUCCUACGCGAGAUAGGAGUUUGAAUUGCGGUAUAACUGUGAUACAAAUUAUUUAAUAGAGUUCUUCUGGGCAUAGGAGACAUGAGUUGAGGAUUUUUAGUCAGAAUAAAUUUUUCAUUGGAUAAGGCGUUGACGUAGGUCAUAAUCCCGAGGACAUAAUCUUGAGGACAUGUCGAAUGAUUGUCGAAUAACUCUUGGGGCUAAUAGCUCGGGCAUAUGGGAUACCCGAGCACAUAUAUCCCGAGCAUAUUGGUAAACAUAUCGACGAAAUAGAGUCCUCGGGUUUAUAUACGUCGGGACCAAUAUAUUUGGUUAUAUCACCACCUAUUGUAAAGAAAAAGGUGGACGGAGUUUCUGAGAUGUGCUCGGGCUUGGAGAAUUCACACCAAAACACUGAAAUCCACUUAAAACUCAGUGAAGCUAAGCAAUGGGAGAUAAUGUCACAAACUGCUACAUGAAAACUUGAAAAGUCUGUGGCAAGAACUUGGUUUGUUCUAUGUACAUGAGAAGUGUGUUGAGGACUUUGCUCAUUACCAGAAAGCUUUGGAGAAUGAAAGCUUUAAAAUUUUGACCGGGUUGAAUUCUAAAAGAAUUCUGUGCAAACAACCUCUUCCAUCCAUAAGAGAGGUUUAUUCCGAGGAAAGGCAUGAAGAAAAAAUGUUGAAGGCAGUGCCGCUUGUAGUGCCCUGGAAUUUAUCCUUCUUACGUCAAGUACUUAAAAUAAUUCUAGGGAACAAUACAUAUCUAAGGUAGUUACCG